UUCUGGGUCAGAUUGCUUUUCCUUGCUAGAUUCUGGCCACCAUAUCAUAAUUGGGCUUUUCUACUCAUCUCUGUGUUUCUUUUGUCAUUAUAGUCCAAAAUGGUAUCUGAGGAAUGGGCCCUAACCAUAUACCACACCCAAGCUAGUGAGUAGCAGAUGGCCCCUAACAGUAUGACACUGCUUCUGGGAGUUCCAGGACGCCAGCAUCACAUCUAAAAUGUACAGGACGUUCACGACGUCUCUAUUGUGGCACACACAUCAGAUGAGGUCUCUGCAGGGGCAGAUUGAAGAGACAUUUCACCAGAAGCACAGGUCAAAUCUGCAAUGGUGGGAGGAGCUGGAACACAACACAGCAGGGGCCACACCAGAACCCAGACUUCAUCCUUCCCAACAGCUGCAACUGCUUGUGAAGAUACAGAACAUCUGCGGGAGUAGUUGGUCCAAGUCUGUCACCCACCUCUCCCAUCUCCAGAGAUUCUGUGUACAGGGACUGGGAGGUGUGACUCUCUCCAGGCCUCCUCCCUCCCCUGAUGCUCUGAGGACUGGAAGCUUUUAGGACUUUGGUGAGCUGAGCUGCGUGCAUGCGUGCAUAUGUAUGUGGGUAUAGAUUUAUGUAUCUUUGGUUAUGAG
rnacentral:lncRNA from 1 species